rnacentral:ncRNA from 2 species
GGUCACGAGCGACCGGCAACACGCCCUCCGCGUGCCGGUCCGGCAACCGCGCCCCUCGCGCACGGUGCCCCAGGAGGAAGACCCGCCCCGCGCCGACAGGCGCAGGGAAGAGCGAGGU